rnacentral:lncRNA from 1 species
CACGGCAGCCAGGGACACAGAGCAGCCUGCCCCUCCCCCGCCCCCCAUCACAGUGGGGCAGAACACCUAAGCCCCAAGUGUUCUUUCUCUAAGGAGGCGGAGCCUUGCCCGCUCCCCACACUGUGUGAGUCCCAGGGACAAGUUUCUGGAGGGGAGUAUUAGUGACUUUUUUUCACUGCUGUAACCGAAUACCUCAAAGGGAUGAACUCAGGGGCAGGGGCAUUUCUUUGGACUCUGGGCUUGCACAGAAGUUCCCUACCUGAGAGAGGCUCAGAAUGAAACUCCUUGGGACUCUAAAGUGCAGCCUCAGAGUCAAUGAGAAGACAGACUCUGCACUUGGCGUGCAUUCACCCCCAAGUGUAUGGAAGCCAUCUUGAAGCAGCUUCUCAAUUCUCCUGCCAUGUCUCUCUGUUCAGGAUGUUCCUGCCACUGAACCCGAGCCUGGCAUCCAGCAAGCGCUAGCCAAGAGCUUAGCAGUGACCACUUGUCUACUCAUCGGGGGACGGCCAUCAGCCUGGAGGUGAACCAGGGAGAGUCUUGACUAUAGGCACGGCCCCAGCAUCAGUGGGAUCUUGGGGGAGACUUUGACCAUCAGCAGAGGAGGUUUGGGGGGACAAUGUUAUUAAAAUAAAAUGACCCUUGC